CCCGCUGACGAGCGGCGGACGGGUGAGUAAUGCAUAGGAAUCUGCCCGAUAGUGGGGGAUAACCUGGGGAAACCCAGGCUAAUACCGCAUACGUCCUACGGGAGAAAGGGGGCUCCGGCUCCCGCUAUUGGAUGAGCCUAUGUCGGAUUAGCUAGUUGGUGAGGUAAAGGCUCACCAAGGCGACGAUCCGUAGCUGGUCUGAGAGGAUGAUCAGCCACAUCGGGACUGAGACACGGCCCGAACUCCUACGGGAGGCAGCAGUGGGGAAUAUUGGACAAUGG
rnacentral:rRNA from 1 species